CAACAAACAUGAGACGUCCAAAGGACGUUCAGAUUAUGUCCAUAUCGGGUCGGUCGGUCCAGAACCUAAUCUGCACCUAAUCUGCACGUCUUAACGACGUGCAGAUCCAGUACAGUAUUUGGACGUCUGACUACGACGUCUUUUGGACGUUGAUAUGCAGUUCAAUAUUUGAGGGUCCGUUCUUGGACGUCAUUUAGACGUUCAAAACAGGUUCAGAAAAAAAAUAUAAAAACGUAUGCAAUAAAAACGACAAAUGAGUUCUGAUUCAAAACAAUGUAACAUGACGUUUUUUUUGUGAAAAUUCUUUAAGGUGAUAAAAUAUGUUAUAUUUUUAUGAAUGAAUGUUCACAACGCGUGCCAAAAUCUACUGCAUUUCUUUUGUGUAAUUUGCAAAUUAAACCAAAUUCAAGUGUGAUUUACAAAAAUAAUCAACAUUGCAAUUUUAAGUUUAACCACACGGGUGUGUAAAAGCUUAGGUGGCGAGGUGGCGCGUGAUCUUUUUUUGCACGUGAUCAACAGACGUAAUUAAGCAUCGCCAGCGUAAACGUACUCAACGGACACAACCUGCUGUGAACAGGCUCUUUUCAGAGCCAUUUGACCAAGCAUCUUUGUACAUGCCGGUUUUCCUUCAGUAGUGCCAGUUUUCCUAAGAUUUUACCUCGUCCUCCACUGCCUCCAGUAAUUCCUGGUUUUAAGGGUUCCCCAAAUCUUACCCUGGAGGGCCGGAGGACUGCAGAGUUUAGCUCCAACGCUGAUCAAACACGCCUGAGCAAGCUAAUCAAGGUCUUCAUGAUCACUAGAAAAUCACAGGUGGGUAAGUUUGAUUAGGGUUGGACGUAAACUCUGUAGUGUUCCUUAACUCCAGGAUAAGAUUUGGGGAACCCUGAUAUACAUAGUCAUCAUUCAGUUAUUAUUGAAGAGCCACACAGAUCCAAAAUCGAAACUGACCUGUAUUGCAGUGUGUCAUGUAGCUGCCCAUCAAUGUAAACAAUGUGCAAAGUAGUUGAACCAAAAACUUUAAUACAAGUUAUUGGCUUCUAAAGUAGGUCGACUCUUACUCACUGAAACGAGUCGUUAUAUGGACUGAUUCUCCUGCCUGACAUUUUCCACGUCACACGAACACUUCCACGUCACACGAGAUACUAAUCUCCGCCUACAGCCUUGCCUGCGGGAGAAACGAAAACUAUGACCUGCCCAAAGCUAGUUAGUGUGUAAACAUCAUGCUGUGUUUUCAGUUUGUGCUGUUUUCACUACCAAAGGAGACAUUUUCAAGGAGGGUAUACUAAAUGUUUGGCUGUGAAGAAUCUGUGGUUAAAAUUAGGGGUCGAUCGAUUAUCAAUCUGGCCGAUUAUAGACGUCGAUAUUAAGCAUUUUGCCGACUAUCAACAUCGGACAUUUUAAAAGCCUAUUUGCCGAUAAUGUAAUUUGAUUUGAAAUGCACUAUUUCGGCUCUGACGCAGCCAUGGAUUUAGUGAGAGCCGUCGGAACACGGAACAGGGCACUCUAUUCAGUUGCCUACAGCAAUGCCUGCCCCUCGCCCAUCUGAUUUGUUGGGAGUCAUGAGUCCGGCCAAUCAGCGCAGGAGGCUGAAGACACCGCAGAAAGCGCUUGCUAACUCGAGCUGCUUUGCAAUGAUUUCGCUCUGUGAGUUGACACUGCAAUACAAGAGUUUAGCACGCGUUUCAGGCAGUUGACCGAGCUGGCAUUUGCACGUCAAUGUAAGUCAUGUCAUUUUAAAAAUACAAGCCACUUUAAAGCAUAAAGAACUUGACCACUUUGGUCUUCACUCAGUGUGCUCUUAUGCACGCGCACACAGCCGCCUGCUUGCAACAAGUAACAGAUCAAGUUAUUUUUUGCGACUUAUUUAUUACACAGAAAUGUUCAUAUACACACGGGUAUGCUUAAAUGCCUGUUUUGAGGACAUACAGUUGCAAUCAGAAAUAUUCAACCCCCUCACCUCAAAAAACAUUAUAGUGAUGUUGAUAAAAAAAUAAUAAAAAUCUCUUGGAAUGUUAAAUAUUUUGGAAAUCUUCUUAUACCCAAGGCCCUUCAGAUGUGAUGAAAUAAUCUCCUCUCUUAGCUUUUGUGGAAGCUCCUUUGUCUUUCCCAUGAUUGCAACUCACCUUGAAGACCUUGAUGGUUGGAGUUUAUAUAUGCAUCACAGCUGAAGCAAAAUGGAUCGUUAUAGAGUUCCUAAAGGCUUAAUGAGGUUUCAGCUGCACUUCAGGCCAUAAAAUCUGUCAGAAAGCUUUAAAAAUAACAAUAUUAUAUAGGGGUUGAAUAAUUGUGACAUGGCUAUCUUAACAAAAUAUACUAUUACACACAAAUACUACAUCAAACAUUUUCUGUUUUGAUUUUAUGCCUCACUUAACUCAUAAAAACUCAUCCAAAGCAGAAUCCCGCACUUUGAAAAGAUUUUUAUUUAUAAAUCCUUAA